GGGGUCGUAGCUCAGUUGGGAGAGCGCCUGCAUGGCAUGCAGGAGGCCGCCGGUUCGAUCCCGGCCGACUCCA
rnacentral:tRNA from 2 species